rnacentral:tRNA from 1 species
GCGCCAGUGGCGGAAUGGUAGACGCACUGGUUUUAGGUACCAGCGAGGCAACUCGUGGGGGUUCAAGUCCCUCCUGGCGCA